UACUCCUACGGGAGGCAGCAGUGGGGAAUUUUGGACAAUGGGCGCAAGCCUGAUCCAGCCAUGCCGCGUGCGGGAAGAAGGCCUUCGGGUUGUAAACCGCUUUUGUCAGGGAAGAAAUCCUUUGGGUUAAUACCUCGGAGGGAUGACGGUACCUGAAGAAUAAGCACCGGCUAACUACGUGCCAGCAGCCGCGGUAAUACGUAGGGUGCGAGCGUUAAUCGGAAUUACUGGGCGUAAAGCGUGCGCAGGCGGUCUUGCAAGACAGGUGUGAAAUCCCCGGGCUUAACCUGGGAACUGCACUUGUGACUGCAAGGCUGGAGUACGGCAGAGGGGGAUGGAAUUCCGCGUGUAGCAGUGAAAUGCGUAGAUAUGCGGAGGAACACCGAUGGCGAAGGCAAUCCCCUGGGCCUGUACUGACGCUCAUGCACGAAAGCGUGGGGAGCAAACAGGAUAGAUACCCUGGUAGUCCACGCCCUAAACGAUGUCAACUGGUUGUUGGACGGCUUGCUGUUCAGUAACGAAGCUAACGCGUGAAGUUGACCGCCUGGGGAGUACGGCCGCAAGGUUGAAACUCAAAUGAAUGACGG
rnacentral:rRNA from 1 species